ensembl:lncRNA
AAUGGUCAUCGUUAAAGUCAGCGGCUCAUUAUGAAGCGACCCAGUAUAAAAUGUCUCUAUUUACAAAAAAUUGAAACUUGCUACUCCUCCACAACAAGUUGAGCGUGAGAGUCAGUUUACUCAUUUGACCGUAACACUACAUUGGGCCUCAUUACAUCCAGCAGCCUCCAUGGACAUGGACCCACCAGGGUCCACCAGGGUGGUGGGUCUGGAUGCCCAGGGCAACAUGGUCUUCACUGUGGUGAAACCAGUGAUGGGCAUCUACCAGGUGUCUUCGGAGCAAACGGGCAGCGUCGCACACGGGGGUAUGGGGCUCCAGGGUUUGUCCGAAAACACGUUGAUCCUCCCUGAAGUGCAAGGCCAGGCGCCGCUGGACCAGAACCAGACGGAAAUGCACGGCCUCCAGCCUAAUAUUCAGAUGCCCCACAUGCAGAUUCCUGUCCCAGUGCAGACCGAGCUCGUGUCCCAGAUUCUGGACCCGCAGCCCGACGCCGGCACAAACCCCGAGUCGGCCUCCCAUAUGCCUUUUGCAGAGGUGUCGUCACUCCUGGACCCCAACAUGAAAGGAUCCAAGGCGCGGAAAUACCUCAUCUCGUACGAGGAGAUCAAGCGGCGCCUGCAGGCCCCGGAGAAGAUGUCCCUGCGCUCCCUGGCAGCCUACACUCGGGUCAGCCGAGGUCCGGCCAGCAAAAAGACGCUGCUGGAGUCGCUCAACGUCCUCGGCCUCACGCCGAGCACAACUACCUCCGUGUCCUCCUCGUUCUCCAAACUCACCGAAGGCGACACCGGGGCUUUGUGUGACGACAUGAAGGACUUCGCCCACGACUACAUCGACUGCAGCCACAUGGCUAAGCAGCUCAUCCCCGAGACCAACACGGUUCAACACUGGUCCAAAAUCAUUGAAACCAAGAACCACCUGGAGGAUAUGAGGAGAUGCUUCAAGGACCCGGUGAACAGCGGCGCGUUUGACAACGUCACUCACGGCCUGGGUCUGGGAGCGCUGGACGUCGCGCUGGACGUGAUCGUGAUGGUCAUCGAGCAGCAGAUUCGGAUCCUCUCCGGGGCGGCGGCGUCGGACCCGGCCGACUCCGGUCCGCCGAUGCGCCGCGUCCGCCGGCGGCACCGCAAAGCCCGCUCGACCGACAACGAGAGCCCCCGCAAGGUGUCUGCGGGGGUCAAAGAGCCGGGGAGGGCCAUUUCCAAAGGCAAAGGGCGAGGCCGGUCCAGGAAUAAGAUAAGACAGGAAACCGGCGCAGCGGUUCCCAUGGAAACCCAAGCAGAACAAUGCAAGCCCGAUGAGGUGGAGAAUAACGUCCUAACCCUGGUGUCUGUCGGAUAUGAGACCGUUUCUUGUGAACUGAAUGCAGCCGGAACAGUUUGACACCUGGUCACGUGACCGGCCCCAAAACAAACGAACAAACAAACAAUCGUCCUCCGGUUCAAAGGGAUGGGAAACGGACCGCACAAGUUGAGCUGCUGCGAGGGACGUCUCAGCACCAACGUGUAAUCCCAAAGUACUUGAAGUCCAACUGAAAAUAGUUUGACAUUUUAGGUAGCACAAUUUCUCAAGUAAAUAGGUAGGGUAAAUAUGUAGCUGGAGCCAGCACACUAUUAGCUUAGCAUAAAGACUGGCGCCUGGGGAACAGGGGAAGGGUCAACAGCUAGCCUAGCUCCGUCCAAUGGUAACAAGAACAACUCUAAAGCUUCCAAAUGAACACCUUUAGUCUCAUUUGUUUAAUCUGCACAGAAAAAAGUCACAGUAGAGGCUUUGUGUUAAACAAUGAACUCUUGUGUUUUACACCAUUACGAUUAAGGAGAUCUUUCCCUGCUCGUAACUCUACUAUUCCACAGCUGAACUCCAGCCAAAGAUUGUUGUGACAGAGCAGCUAAUAUCGUCGGCGAGAACAUGAAGUGUUUGAAUGCUUCACACCUCGUGUUUGAAGGCGAGGAGAGAGAGAGGGGAAGCUAAUAAGCACCCCCCCCCAUGCCGAACUACUCCUUUAAAGGGAAUCCUCUCUUUGUUCUGUAGCAUCGUAUGUGUGUUCGUGUAGUGUAACUGGAUCCAGUUGUAACUGUUUUCUCAUGCCAUGUUUUUGAUGAAAAAACUGAAAUCACCACCUGAAAUAUGUUGUAAACAUGUUGUUCAUGCACAAGGUAGAACCGAUGACAUCAGAGGUCUUGGAUCACACGUCUUACCGUUUGGUAACAAUGUCCUUUAUUUCCCAGUUGUAUUUAUUCAUUAGAGAUGCAAUUAAACAUCUGUUGGUCUGAACUGAAGCAUAAAGAUUUCAUUUU